rnacentral:rRNA from 1 species
UACAGAGGGUGCAAGCGUUAAUCGGAAUUACUGGGCGUAAAGCGCACGUAGGCGGUUUUUUAAGUCAGAUGUGAAAGCCCCGGGCUCAACCUGGGAAUUGCAUUUGAAACUGGCCAACUAGAGUGUGUGAGAGGGGGGUAGAAUUCCAAGUGUAGCGGUGAAAUGCGUAGAGAUUUGGAGGAAUACCAGUGGCGAAGGCGGCCCCCUGGCACAACACUGACGCUCAGGUGCGAAAGCGUGGGGAGCAAACAGG